GGAAGGGUGGCAGAGCGGUUGAAUGCACCGCACUCGAAAUGCGGCAUGCCCUUACGGGCAUCGGGGGUUCGAAUCCCCCCCCUUCCGCCA
rnacentral:tRNA from 1 species